CAGGCUUGGGCCCGACGGGGGAACGGAGCCCCAGGACUGUUGAAGCCUGGAAGUCCCCUCCCCUCCCCCCUCCCCCCUUCGCCUCUUUGUGGCAUCCCCCUCCCUUCACCCUUUCCCACUCUGAUAAUCUAGCCAUGACUAGCAGAAGCACAGCCAGGCCCAAUGGGCAGCCCCAGGCCAGCAAAAUAUGCCAAUUCAAAUUGGUCCUGCUGGGUGAAUCUGCAGUGGGAAAGUCUAGCCUGGUAUUACGUUUUGUCAAAGGGCAGUUCCAUGAGUACCAGGAGAGCACCAUUGGAGCGGCCUUCCUCACCCAGUCUGUUUGUCUAGAUGACACAACAGUCAAGUUUGAGAUCUGGGACACAGCUGGGCAGGAGCGGUACCAUAGCUUGGCCACCAUGUACUACAGAGAUGCCCAAGCUGCAAUUGUGGUUUAUGACAUUACUAAUCAGGAGACCUUCGCCCGAGCAAAGACAUGGGUGAAGGAACUACAACAACAGGCCAGUCCUAGCAUCGUUAUUACCCUGGCAGGGAACAAAGCUGACCUGGCCAACAAGCGCAUGGUGGAGUAUGAAGAGGCCCAGGCGUAUGCAGAUGACAACAGCUUAUUGUUUAUGGAGACUUCAGCCAAGACAGCUAUGAACGUGAAUGAUCUCUUCCUGGCAAUAGCUAAGAAGUUGCCAAAGAGUGAACCCCAGAAUCUGGGGCAUGCAGCAGGA